AUAGAUGAAUAGAAUGAGCAAAAGUUGCAGCACAGCGUGUCACCAGAGAGGAAAAGAAUAUCCUUGCUGUGCCAAGAAAGAAAAGACCAUGGAUCUACUAGUUGCAGAUUUCAGCAGUAAUGCCAAGGGGGCAAGAAGUGACCAGCAGAACAAUUAGGCCAUGGCAACAGAAGCCAACUACAACCCAUGUUCCAAUCUAUGACCUCCCUCUCCUGCUGGUACAAGGAUAUGAUCUGGAGUCUGGGAAGUUCAAGAGCAUGGCACCAACAUCUGGCAAGGGCUUUCAUUCUGCAUCAUCUCAUGGAGGAAAAUAAAAAGAUUUCAGGUAAAUCCAGAUUUGGAGCUUAAAUGACUCAAAUGCUUUGCCUACAUUGAUCCUACAUUCAGGCUGCUUACAUAUCUCUUGGCUUCUCUGAGAACCAGAUUGUCACCACUUAAAGGUCUGUUAGAAUUUUCACAAAACCUUCUCAACUGAUUUCUUCUUCAUGGGAAAGUAAAAGCAAUGAAAAUGCCUUCAAGUUAACUAGGUCUUAUUAGGUACAAAUUGUUGCAAGGAAAGUGAGGUGGGAUGGAAGUAGAAGGUUGUUCUGAAAUCAUCUUACAAAUGUCAGCAUUCAAGACCUGAGUAAUCCAAGAUAGCAAGAGCAGAUCAAUGAUCUCUAUACAGAAUGCUCUACAAAGGACUUGGAAGGAACGGUAAACCCACAGGGCUUUCAACCCUCUUCCUAUGAACAAUGGGGCUCAUAGGGUUUGCAAGAUACAGGAAGAAGCUCCUGGAGAUGCCAGACAAAGAAGGAAAGGUGAUCCAUCAACCUCCACCUGCUUUACAAACAGACAGCCCCUGCUUAGCAGCCCCUUGUGGAUGAGGCUAAGCUGAGUGAAUGGAGUCGAGUGGAGAUGUUCCCACCUUGCGGAGCUUCCUAGAGUGGCUGCUGCUUCCUUCGAUGUCACAAAUUGGGCAAAUCCUCCAACAAUAAGGCACCCCAGACUGUGCUCCAGCUUUCAGAGGGAGCCUUUCACGCCAGCUUUCAGCCGUGGGCUGUAAUGGUGCCACAUGCGUCAAUGGGGCUAGGAUCUGUCCCCUAAGCACUGCGGUCAGAGGCCCAGUGAGUGAUGUGGUCUAGGGCCGUGGAUGCUCACUCACAUUCUGCUUUGGUCUUGACCACAGCAUCAGAAAUGAUUUGAUGCAUUGGGUUUGAACAUGUUUUGAGUUACUCUGUAUUGCAUACACAUGUAAAACAAAUCUGGGAACCCACAA
rnacentral:lncRNA from 1 species